UUUGUAUUUUUUUUGGUUUUGUACUUUAUUACUUAUGUGCAUAUAUUUUUUGGAUUGUUUACACUAUGCAUUUGCACUUUAUUUAAUGAUUGGUUUUGCACAUUAAUUGGUACCAUUUGUAAUUGGUGCCUCUAUAAAGAUAUGGUUAGCACUGGUUGUGUGAUGCUUGAGAAAGGUCAGGUUGAGCUGACUGAAACGUCGCUGUUGUAAUGACACCUUUUAUGGAAUAAAAACACAUAUUUUUUCAUGAACUUUGGUGCUGUGGACAAGAUUUUUCUUCUGUUUGAACGAUGAUCCCCUAACCAAGGAUCCAGGAGCUGCGUGCACCCCCUUACGAUUAUUAUUUUUUCUUCAAUUUGGCUGUGCUGUUCUUCUUCUAUUACUGGAUUGCGGUUUAUGAGCGAGCACCCAGCUUCGAUCAAGAUGGAAACUACGCAUGAUCCUUCUACUGCCAGUUCUGUAAUACAGGCAGUUUGAAGUUACAACCAUUGGGCCUGAGAAAUAAGACAGACUAAUCUAAAGGAUAAACUGGUGAAGGCGGAUAUAUCACAGAGACAAGUGGGCACUCAGAGGUGGACUUUGGGAUAUACUGAACACUCACCUGAUGACUAUAAUAAUUGUUAUAGUUUUAUUAAUAAAACAUUGUAGAUUGACUAUUGAUGUGAGUUUCUUGAGUCUCUUAUGUGGC